GUAUUCACUUGGGUAGCACAUAUACUAAAAAACUAGAAUGAUACAGAGAUCAGCAUGGCCCCUGUGCAAAUAUGACAUGUAAAUUCUUGUGCUCCAUAUUUUU
ensembl:snRNA U6 U6 spliceosomal RNA